CCUGUGUUCGUGCCGGCUUGGUCGAGGGACCCGGUGAGGUGUGGGAAGGCGGCGUUUGGAGCCUGCAUUCGUGGAGCGAUGAUCUGCUGUGCCGAUCCGGGUGGUUACAGUGAUGAGAUCGGGUGUAUCAUAGAACAGGCCAGAAAGCAUGGAUACACGGAAGGAUUGAUGGGAACUAUUGAGAGGAGAUUGAGGGCAUCCAUGGAUGGCCUCGGGGCGGAGCGGGGGGAGCGGCCCCUUGGGCGGACUGGGGGCGGCACUCAGAGUGGCUGCAUCGCAGUGCCGUGUGGCGUGCGGAGCUGCCCCGUAAUCGGGGAGGUGGCUGGACGACGGAAGAAGGGAGUAGCGAUGGCACGGAAUCCUGCUGUUUUUGCC
rnacentral:lncRNA from 1 species